CCCACCUGAAACCUGACUUGUGGGUCCUGUUCCGGCUCAAGUCCCGCUGAGGACUUUGUGGAAUUCGCAGGAAAAUGCGACAGAGGGAAAACUUAUUCACAAAGGAAAAGAGACAGGAAUCUUCUUCAUUGUACAAAAUUUUAUUGAAAAAUUCCUUCAUAGAGAAAUGAAGUUACAAAAGCAAGGAAUCGUGUCCAAUCUCACAAUAAUAAUAUUUCAUCGAAAACCAAAAUCACAAACUAUGAAACGGAAUGGAAGUAAGCAAUUUAAAGUUCAUUGAGAAAACUCAGUAUCAAGCAAGUAACAAGGCG